AACAGUUUUGGCAACGAACAGCAGUUGGCCAAGUCAGAAGCCUAGACGAAUCUGUGUGAGACAGAAUGCCCUAUAACAAUAUUUGCCGCAGCUGCAAACUGAAAAGGAAUAAGGAAACGGUUCUAUACUUUCUCUGUGAAUGCCCAGCUCUAUCACAAACCUGACAUAGAACAUACACUAUCAGAUACCAAACUAGGAAUGCCUCUCUACAGAAAGCAUCAAAGAGAUAACUAUUUUUAUUGAGGGUAACAAAUAGAUUGAACGCAACGACGAAACAAGCUAGCAAGACCUAAAAGUAUGGUAUAGGUGUAUAAAAAUGGCACUUUAAACGCAAAUUGAGCCCGGAAGGAUUGCAUUCCUACCUGCCUACCUAAAGGCAGGCAAUGAAAAAGUCCGAAAGUAAUGUCGCUUCUAUGCAUUAUUGGGUGGCAUUAUAAUUCCAGACUAUUUUUCGCUUCAAUUGAAAGGGAUUAAGUAAUGUUUUUCCUGGUGUCAAUAUAAGUAGCUUGAUCACUAGUAGCUCACAUAAUGUAUGAAUCUUCAAGGAUUAAUGUUUUUUCCAAGAUGAAAAGAAAGAAUAACGGCUCUACACAAACUCAUUUUCGAAACAGAAGCAGAUGCACAGAAAUUGAACUACAUAGUAAACAGUUUGAGAGCUGAAGAUUUGUCGUCAAUCUGUAACUUAUUAGGUUUGACAUGUAGUGCAAGUAAUUUGAAACUGAACAUAUGUCAAGAUUUGUGAAACGCAACGUUGCUAUGCGUAGUGGCGGAGAACGACGAUGACAAAAGUGUCGACGAAGAUGCCGAAGACAACGAUGAUGAUGGUGAUAUUAUGCGCAGCUUUGAUGACGUUGGCGCAGGUACAGAAGAGGGUAAUAAACAUAAAAAUCGUUUUUCGAAGCGCGUUUCUCAAUGAACUUUGGUGGCAAAGAAGAUUCUAAAAGUGUUCCUAAUGCAAAAAAUUUGGCCAUAUUUCAAAAGAUUGCCCACAAGAAGAAAAUAAAAAUGUCGUUUGUGUGCCAAAAACAGUAUUAUGAAAAAAGAAGUGUUUUUUUGUAAACAAAAGUAUUAUUGAUAAUAUUUUCAAGUCGCUACAAGAACCUGUGUUAAAAAAGUCACAAAUUCGUCUAAUAGGUUUUGGUGAACGUAAGCCUUGCAAUAAUAUAAAACCAAUUGGUGAACUCAGCCAUGAUACAAGCAUUGACAAUCAAAUUUAAGAUUUAAAUUAGUUAGUAUUGCCUUCAAUAUUGAUAAGUAUUGGCGUGGUGAUCGGCGAAGAUUUUUGCUUGUAAGCAGAUAUUUGUACAAAUAAAUCAAGAUGGACUUUCUAUUCGAAAAAUUCCUUUUGACAAAUUUUAA